UACAAGGGCAAACAGGAACCAAAUGGAGGGAGGAAGAAUGUGAGGAGGCAGGGGUGGGAGGCUGGGGCUCCCCAGCAUUCCCGCCUCCCUCUGCUGGUCCGUGGUGAGGGAGGAGUGAGGGCCUCCUGUGGCUGACAUUCUUCCAGGGAACUCUGCACAGUCCUGCUGAUAUCAUCAGUUUCUUUUGCUGCUGCCUUGAAAAGUAAACAAAAAAGGGCUGCAACACUGCAACUCCAUCAGGGGCAUGGGAAGAUGAGGGUGGGGAUGGGGUGAAGGAACAGGAAUCCAACAAAUAUUAAGAGGACAAACUUUGGUAGGAAAAUGAUAGACCAAGCAAAGUAAAAGGCAAACAACUUUAAUGGUUAUUUUGCUAAAGAUAAA
rnacentral:lncRNA from 1 species